rnacentral:rRNA from 1 species
UACGUAGGGUGCAGGCGUUAAUCGGAAUUACUGGGCGUAAAGCGUGCGUAGGCGGUUUGUUAAGACAGGUGUGAAAUCCCCUGGCUCAACUGGGGAACGGCGCUGGAUACUGGUGGACUCGAGUACCGGAGAGGAGAGUGGAAUUCCUGGUGUAGCGGUGAAAUGCGUAGAUAUCAGGAGGAACACCGGUGGCGAAGGCGGCUCUCUGGACGGAUACUGACGCUGAGGCGCGAAAGCGUGGGGAUCAAACAGG